AGCAGCAGCAGCAACAGCAGCUGGUGUCAGCGGUUCGCCGUCGUCGUUGUCGUUGUCGUUGUCGUGGUGGAUAUGCGAGGUAGGCCGCGUGUCGUGUAUGCGCCAGGUGAUCUGUGCGGGCUUGAUGCUUGAAAUAUUUUUAAGCCUGUUUUUACUUUUUAACGCUUCUAAAUGACCCCCAUAUAAAUUUCUGCUUAAAGAUUGUAAAUGUAAAAUUCCGUCGGUUAAUUUCAUAACUGUUUUUAUACUCUGAAGGGUGGAGUCCGACCAGGACGGUGGUGGUGGCUCGACCUGGAUGGUGGACCAGCUGCAGGCGCCGGUGAUGGCGAGGUAGCGAUUACAAAGGGAUAAACGACGUGUAAUUUCUGUGCACGUGGCUUAGUUGUGAAAUAGCAGGUGAAAUGAUGUCAAUGUCGGGCAAUCGCGAUGGGAAGGCGAGGUGAUAUGACAAAUUGUUAGCGCGUAUGCAUCUAAAGGCAAUUCUCGUGAGUCUGUGGGCAGGAAAUUAAUAGGUGUUAUCUGCCGAUAUACUGUUUAGCGGAAGAGGAAAGCAGGAUUGUGAGGCAAGUGCUAGGGUAUGAAUGGGUAUCCUUUCCGCCGUGUAUUUGCGGUUAGCUUACAUCCUUAUCGUUUUACAAGGCUUGGAAUGUUGUUUCCCAGCGACGCUGGUUGUUCCCCGCUACUUGAAUGUAUGCAUCAGCAAGGGAUAGGAAAUUAUGCAUUACGUCGUGAGGAUUUGGGGAAGUCGAACGUCUGGCAGUGAGGCGCAUGUAGAAACUUUGUGCCAAUUCGCUCGUAGUGCGUGUAGCUAUGUGGCAAGUUGCCUCUUUGUGCGCUAAGGCAGAGUAAGUACGCUGCGAGAUGCAGAACCUGAAAGAAGUAGCACGCAAGCUGCACAAAACCAUAUGUAUGUCUGUGCCGAUUAAGACUAGUUUUCCUUCUUUUGUAACGGCGAAACAUUCAUCCACAAUUU
rnacentral:lncRNA from 1 species